UCCGAGUUGACCCCGGCAGUCUCCUACGAGUCCCCGGCAUUACCCGCUGGCAACAUAGGACAAGGGUUGCGCUCGUUGCGGGACUUAACCCAACAUCUCACGACACGAGCUGACGACAGCCAUGCACCACCUAUCGCGGGCCCUUACGGACACCGUAUCUCUACGGCUUUUCCCGCGUAGUUCAACCCAGGUAAGGUUCUUCGCGUUGCAUCGAAUUAAGCAACAUGCUCCGCCGCUUGCGCGGGCCCCCGUCAAUUCCUUUGAGUUUUAGCCUUGCGGCCGUACUCCCCAGGCGGGGCACUUAAUGCGUUAGCUGCGUUACUGAGAAGGAACCUUCCCAACAACCAGUUGACAUCGUUUAGGGCGUGGACUAC
rnacentral:misc_RNA from 1 species